UUUUUCCUUUGAUGUGCAGAGGCUGUUUACUUUGAUGCAGUCUCACUUGUUUAUAUUUUAUUUUGUUGCUGUGCUGUUGAUGUCAUUUCAAAAAAAGUUAUUGCCGAGACCAAUAUCAACAAGGUUUUUCCAUAUGUUUUCUUCAUGAGUUUUAAGAUUUCAUGUCUUAAUUUCAGUCUUUGUUUUGAAGUCUGAAAUUAGAAAGCAUGAUGCCUGCCAGACAAGGUGGCUCACACCUGUAAUCCCAGCACCUUGGGAGGCCGAGGUGGGCGGAUCACUUGAGAUCAG
rnacentral:lncRNA from 1 species